rnacentral:piRNA from 1 species
UCCUGUUAUAAUAUUUGAUCUUGG